UCAGUCUAUAAGGUGAAUGAGUUGGACAGGCCUGAGAUCAGUCUAUAAGGGGAAUGAGUUGGACAGGCCUGAGAUCAGUCUAUAAGGUGAAUGAGUUGGACAGGCCUGAGAUCAGUCUAUAAGGUGAAUGAGUUGGACAGGCCUGAGAUCAGUCUAUAAGGUGAAUGAGUUGGACAGGCCUGAGAUCAGUCUAUAAGGUGAAUGAGUUGGACAGGCCUGAGAUCAGUCUAUAAGGUGAAUGAGUUGGACAGGCCUGAGAUCAGUCUAUAAGGUGAAUGAGUUGGACAGGCCUGAGAUCAGUCUGUAAGGUGAAUGAGUUGGACAGGCCUGAGAUCAGUCUAUAAGGUGAAUGAGUUGGACAGGCCUGAGAUCAGUCUGUAAGGUGAAUGAGUUGGACAGGCCUGAGAUCAGUCUAUAAGGUGAAUGAGUUGGACAGGCCUGAGAUCAGUCUAUAAGGUGAAUGAGUUGGACAGGCCUGAGAUCAGUCUGUAAGGUGAAUGAGUUGGACAGGCCUGAGAUCAGUCUAUAAGGUGAAUGAGUUGGACAGGCCUGAGAUCAGUCUGUAAGGUGAAUGAGUUGGACAGGCCUGAGAUCAGUCUAUAAGGUGAAUGAGUUGGACAGGCCUGAGAUCAGUCUGUAAGGUGAAUGAGUUGGACAGGCCUGAGAUCAGUCUAUAAGGUGAAUGAGUUGGACAGGCCUGAGAUCAGUCUAUAAGGUGAAUGAGUUGGACAGGCCUGAGAUCAGUCUAUAAGGUGAAUGAGUUGGACAGGCCUGAGAUCAGUCUGUAAGGUGAAUGAGUUGGACAGGCCUGAGAUCAGUCUAUAAGAUCAAUGAGUUGGACAGGCCUGAGAUCAGUCUAUAAGGGGAAUGAGUUGGACACCCCUGAGUUC